rnacentral:rRNA from 1 species
CCUACGGGAGGCAGCAGUGAGGAAUAUUGGUCAAUGGCCGGAAGCCUGAACCAGCCAAGUAGCGUGCAGGAUGACGGCCCUACGGGUUGUAAACCGCUUUUAUACGGGAACAAAGCGCCUCACGUGUAACGCUUUGCAUGUACCGUAUGAAUAAGGAUCGGCUAACUCCGUGCCAGCAGCCGCGGUAAUACGGAAGGUCCGGGCGUUAUCCGGAUUUAUUGGGUUUAAAGGGGGCGCAGGCCGGAGGUCAAGUCUACGGUUAAAUGUCCGGGCUCAACCCGGGCCUUGCAGCGGAAACUGGAGUGCUUGAGUGCGCGGAAAGCAGGCGGAAUGCGUGGUGUAGCGGUGAAAUGCUUAGAUAUGACGAAGAACCCCGAUUGCGAAGGCAGCAUGCUGGCGCGGAACUGACGCUGAUGCACGAAAGCGCGGGUAUCGAACAGGAUUAGAUACCCCUGUAGUC